rnacentral:rRNA from 1 species
GGGAAAACCCCUGAUUGCAGCCCAUGCCCGCGUGUGUGAAGAAAGGCCCUUUCGGGGUUGUAAAAGCACUUUUCAGUUUGUGAAGGAAAAAGUUUAAGUAAGUUAAUAUACCUGUGCUAGAGCCGUGAACGGUAACACACACGAGAAAGAAGCCACCCGGCUUAACUCCGUGCCAGCAGCCGCGGUAAUACGGAGGGUGCGAGCGUAAUCGGAAUUACUGGGCGUAAAGCGCACGCAGGCGGUUUGUUAAGCUAGAUGUGAAAGCCCCGGGCUCAACCUGGGAUGGUCAUUUAGAACUGGCAGACUAGAGUCUUGGAGAGGGGAGUGGAAUUCCAGGUGUAGCGGUGAAAUGCGUAGAUAUCUGCSAGGAGRCAUCAGUGGCGAAGGCGACUCCCUGGCCAAAGACUGACGCUCAUGUGCGAAAGUGUGGGUAGCGAACAUGCSAWWAGAUACCCUGGUAGUCCACACCGUAAACGCUGUCUACUAGCUGUUUGUGACUUUAAGUCGUGAGUAGCGAAGCUAACGCGCUAAGUAGACCGCCUGGGGAGUACGGCCGACMWGGUUAAAACUCAAAUGAAUUGACGGGGGCCCGCACAAGCGGUGGAGCAUGUGGUUUAAUUCGAUGCAACGCGAAGAACCUUACCUACACUUGACAUGCAGAGAACUUUCCAGAGAUGGAUUGGUGCCUUCGGGAACUCUGACACAGGUGCUGCAUGGCUGUCGUCAGCUCGUGUCGUGAGAUGUUGGGUUAAGUCCCGCAACGAGCGCAACCCUUGUCCUUAGUUGCCAGCAUUAAGUUGGGCACUCUAAGGAGACUGCCGGUGACAAACCGGAGGAAGGUGGGGACGACGUCAAGUCAUCAUGGCCCUUACGUGUAGGGCUACACACGUGCUACAAUGGCAUUUACAGAGGGAAGCGAGACAGUGAUGUGGAGCGGACCCCUUAAAGAAUGUCGUAGUCCGGAUUGGAGUU